UACGAAGGGGGCUAGCGUUGCUCGGAAUUACUGGGCGUAAAGGGCGCGUAGGCGGAUACUUAAGUCGGGGGUGAAAGCCCGGGGCUCAACCUCGGAAUUGCCUUCGAUACUGGGUAUCUUGAGUUCGGGAGAGGUGAGUGGAAUGCCGAGUGUAGAGGUGAAAUUCGUAGAUAUUCGGCGGAACACCAGUGGCGAAGGCGACUCACUGGCCCGAUACUGACGCUGAGGUGCGAAAGCGUGGGGAGCAAACAGGG
rnacentral:rRNA from 1 species